ACGUUGCGUGGUUUCGGGUCUGACGUUCGAGUAAAACCCGAGGGAGGAGGCUGCAGUUCCCCGAGAGCGAGCUUGGCGGGGACCCUGCGUCCCUGUCAGCGCACCUUCCCGCUCCGCGAAGGUCCGAAGCGUGUGGGCGGGGCCCCAGGAGUUCUCCCAGGAGGGUGUCCCUGUCCCUGUCCGCAGUCCACCGCGGAGGGGGCGGGGCAACGGCCUGGGAGCGUCUGGGCGGCGGCGCGCGCCCGCAGGAGAGGAGCGCGCGCGGCUGCGGGCCACCGUCGCGGGAGGCGUGGGAGGCGUCGGCGAGCCGCGCCUGCCUGGCCAGAGCCGAGCCCCGCGGAGUCCGGCCGCGCUCUGCGGCUCUCUCCCGGGCCGGGCUCGUCCGUUCCCGGGCCGGGCUCGUCCGUGGACGCCGCUCCGUGUCCCCGCUGGGCACAGCAGCCCGGGCCCUCCACAGCCAUGGCCGCUGGCCUGAGGUGGCCCUCCUUCAGCUCCCGCUCUUCCUGCUCGCCGGACACGGACGACCAGGGCGCCUGCGAAGAUGAUGCCAUCUGGGAGAGGUACCUGGGGGCGUGGGCCUGGGGGCUGGUGGGAGGCGAGCGUGUUUCUGAGGAAUAGGCUUGUGCGCCGAGAGGUGCCCGUCAGGUCGCGGGACAGCUGUGCGGCGCGCGGAGCGGGGGGGGGGGGGCGGGGGGUGGGGGUCUCUUCGUGCGCGUCACUCGUUCAUGGAACGGGCGGUGUGUGCCGGGCACGGGGCCAGCCUGGGGACGCGGUGCCCGGGAGUCGGGCGCUGAAGCGGCCCCCGGGGCUUGGCUUCUUGGAGGGACAGACGCGAAGUCGAUAAGGACACUGGUCUCGAUGCGUUCUGAGGAGUGCAGGUCUCCCUCCUUUAGAGGCUACGUUCCGUUGGGGUUUUCUGAAGCCUGUUGUGCCCCUGAAGCUCAGGCCGGUUCAGGGGAAGUGGCCUGUCGAGGGCCACGUAACGUUUGUGUGCAGAGCCAGUGCUUUCCAAAGCCCUUGACUGUGCGGAAGUCUAGCUGUUAGGGGUGCGGUGGGGGCUGUCCGGGGAGCAUUGUGAGCACAGGUAUGUGUCCCACACUUGAAAGUCUGGCAGAGAAAGCGUGAGGCUCGAGGGUGCUCCGUUCGUUCCCUCCUUCCACAGAAAGUCUGGAGAGCUGACCUUGGGACAAGUCCUUCCUUUCCUCUGGUCGGUGCGUUGUUCAGUGGUCUGGACACUUGGUGAGCAAGACUGACAGGGUGUUUGACGUACUGGGCCUCACAGCCUAGUUGGAAAGGACAGAUAGGCAGCGACUAGUUACCUAGGAGAUACGUAAAAACUAUUUCGUGUUGGGUGCUGAGAAAUACGGCAUUUACUGAUAGACUUUGUGGCUUAGGCAGUGAUGUUGAAGCUGAGAGCAGAUGCCUACAAGAAAAGGAGGACUUGUGCGGGAGAGCGUUGGGACGGGGCAAGGGAGGAGUAUGGCCUGUCAGAGGAGCUGAAAGAGUGCCCUGGAGCCUGGGGCCGCGUAGGGACUGUAGGGUGGGGAAAACAAAACUUUUCGGUUAAGGCUGGCGCUUUCUAUAGGUUUUUGGAGACUAAGCGUGGUGAUUCGGAGCGUGGACUCUGGAGCCAGACUCUGUCAAAUGGGUCCUAGCUCUGCCACCUACGGGCUGUGUGAACUUGGGCAAGUUACCGUACCAUUCUGUGUGUCAGUUUCCUGAUCUGUCAAACGGGGAUGAUUAUCAUACACACUCCAUAGGUGAGUGUAAAGGUGAGAGGAUAUUUCAUAGCCGUAAAGUACUUAGAGCAGCGUCUGGCCUGUAGUAGGCGUUAGUAGUGGUUGAUUAAAUAAAUGGAUAAAUGCAUACA
rnacentral:lncRNA from 1 species